rnacentral:rRNA from 1 species
AUUGAACGCUGGCGGCAGGCUUAACACAUGCAAGUCGAGCGGAGGUGAGGUGCUUGCACCUUAUCUUAGCGGCGGACGGGUGAGUAAUGCUUAGGAAUCUGCCUAUUAGUGGGGGACAACAUUCCGAAAGGAAUGCUAAUACCGCAUACGUCCUACGGGAGAAAGCAGGGGAUCUUCGGACCUUGCGCUAAUAGAUGAGCCUGAGUCGGAUUAGCUAGUUGGUGGGGUAAAGGGCUACCAAGGCAACGAUCUGUAGCGGGUCUGAGAGGAUGAUCCGCCACACUGGGACUGAGACACGGCCCAGACUCCUACGGGAGGCAGCAGUGGGGAAUAUUGGACAAUGGGGGGAACCCUGAUCCAGCCAUGCCGCGUGUGUGAAGAAGGCCUUAUGGUUGUAAAGCACUUUAAGCGAGGAGGAGGCUACUGAGACUAAUACUCUUGGAUAGUGGACGUUACUCGCAGAAUAAGCACCGGCUAACUCUGUGCCAGCCGCCGCCGUAA